rnacentral:lncRNA from 1 species
AUAUAUAGUAGAUUUUAUGCUCAAUCUAGUAGAAUUUAGUAGAUUUUGUAUAUAAAUCUAGUAGAAAACGACGUUCGGUCAUUGGCAACCCUGAUGACAACCCCCAUAUCUCAUUCUCAAAAUGGAGGUGGAAAUGUUUUAAAACGCAAAGCAGCUUCAAAAAUAAAUCAUUUUAUUUCAACAAAUCAUCUUCCUCUUGGGUUUUUUGGAAAGAGAUCAACCUUUCCCUCUUCGGGAACCUAAGCCUCACAUCACCGGUGAUGCACACUUGAAGGCGAAGACAAUGACAUCCAGACUGCACAACCACCACCUCUAGCUGCAGGGGCCUUGGGCCGAAGAUCCGACCAGGCCUACGAGAAGUCUACAACAGCAGAACCAUACGACAUCAAGAAGAUACCAUCAGCUACCAAAAGCCAUAAGUAUAAUCCAGAAUUGUUAGUUUUUGGCAAGAAUUUGAAUACAUUUGUUAAUGCAA